UGGGGUAUAGCUAAGUGGUAAGGCAACGGACUUUGACUCCGCUAUUCGAAGGUUCAAAUCCUUCUACCCCAG
rnacentral:tRNA from 1 species